rnacentral:rRNA from 1 species
GACGAACGCUGGCGGCGCGCCUAACACAUGCAAGUCGAACGAGCGAGAGAGAGCUUGCUUUCUCGAGCGAGUGGCGAACGGGUGAGUAACGCGUGAGGAACCUGCCUCAAAGAGGGGGACAACAGUUGGAAACGACUGCUAAUACCGCAUAAGCCCACGACCCGGCCUCGGGUAGAGGGAAAAGGAGCAAUCCGCUUUGAGAUGGCCUCGCGUCCGAUUAGCUAGUUGGUGAGGUAACGGCCCACCAAGGCGACGAUCGGUAGCCGGACUGAGAGGUUGAACGGCCACAUUGGGACUGAGACACGGCCCAGACUCCUACGGGAGGCAGCAGUGGGGAAUAUUGCACAAUGGGGGAAACCCUGAUGCAGCGACGCCGCGUGGAGGAAGAAGGUCUUCGGAUUGUAAACUCCUGUUGUUGAGGAAGAUAAUGACGGUACUCAACAAGGAAGUGACGGCUAACUACGUG